AUGCAAGGCAAUAUUUAUGUCAUAACCGGUAUGUUGACACAACAAGGUUUUCCUCACUUGCACUUAGUCAAAGAGAAACUUUAUAGUUGCUAAUAUCGACGGUGUCAUAGCAUUACAAGUUAAAAAAACAAUCGAUCAUUUGAACGAAAAAAAGAAGUUCGCUUUUCCGUCUUUAAUUUUAUUUAUCUUAUUAAAUCCAGAAAAUCAUCACAUUUUACUUUUUGAGUUUUGGAAAAUUUAAGUUCUGACUCCUGACUGGAAUUUCUUGUUCCACGUAAAUAUUCAGCUAUGAUAGUCUAAAUAGAUAUUAACAAUACACAUUGAUAACUCUGUUCCGGGGAACAUAGCACACCUAAUAUUGAAGUUUUUUCCCCCCAAGACAUGACAGACAAUGAAAACAGCACAAAAGUAAAAUAUCAAAGAUUGGCAACAGACAGCUCUGACCAGGCACCAAAAUCUGCAACAAUGGCACGCUCAUCGCUGUAUGCAGCUUGUAGAAUCAUACUUUAUCUGAUGAAACUAGUCAUCGUGCGAUUCUGGAAACUGUGCAUGUCAUCGUGUCUGAUUAUCCUGCUGCUUUUCUGGUUCUACGGUGGGGCCGUGUCUCUCAUGUUCCUGAUGUUUUCUGUCUUUGGACUGUUUUACUACGCACAGGAUAUGGUCCUAUACUACCCCAACCAGCCCCCAAAUUCUCGCCUCUUUGUUCCGCAACCAGAUCCUUCCAAACUUCCGUAUGAGAAUGUGUUUGUGAAAACAAGAGAUGGAGUGAAUUUAAACAUGUACUUCAUAAAACAGCAGCAACCAUAUGGUUAUCCCACAGUGGUCAUGUUUCACGGAAACGCGGGCAAUAUAGGUCACAGGCUACACAUGGCUACCUGCCUGUACAGUGUAUGCCACUGUAACAUACUGAUGGUGGAGUAUAGGGGCUAUGGUCGUAGUAUGGGCUCACCAUCAGAGUCAGGUUUAUAUACAGAUGCAGAAACUGGCUUAGAAUGGCUCCUCAACCGAACGGAUGUUGACAAGAGCAAAAUAUUUCUGUUUGGAAGCUCACUAGGUGGCGCUGUUGCAAUCAACCUCGUUACGUAUCCGCGGUACACCUCAGGAGUGACGGGCCUUAUUUUGGAAAACACAUUCACUAGCCUUCCGGAAAUGGCGAAGAUGCUGAUCAAGACGAACUUGUUGGAUAUGCUGCCAAGCGUUUGCCAUAAAAAUCAGUUUUACUCCAUCAUGAAGAUUCAAAAAGUGAUGAUCCCAACGCUGUUCCUGUCAGGGCAGGCUGAUGAACUCAUUCCACCGAAAAUGAUGCAAGAUUUAUAUCAACGUUCAGGUAGUUCUCUGAAACGACUAGUGCCUUUCGAGCGUGGGACCCACAACGAAACCUGCCUGUGCCCAAAGUUUUAUGAAACCAUAGCGGCCUUUAUGUAUGAGGUAGUCAACCAAUCGGCAGGAAAGUCAGACACCGCUGAAGUUGCCAUGGAGACCCAAGCAAGUUGAUGUGGCGACCAGAUCUGUUUGCAGUCCAAAUCAGACCACCUGUCAAUCAAGAGACGCCUUACAACCUGUCAUUAAAUUUUUUCAUUCAUAGUAGAUAUGGUUUCGGCCUAGCAAAUGGAGGUUCUUACAGCAGGGAUUAUAAAUAAACAAUAGAGGGGGAGGGUACCACUGAGAGCAGAUCAACUAGGCAAGGAUUUAUCAUUAACAAACAGGUGCAUGUUGCCUUAGAUAUGUCGUCCAUUUUGCGCGACAACAACAAUCUGUAUUUUAAACAACCAUUUGAAGACUUGAUAACCUUAACUGCUAUUAAUGGACAUUUGAAAUCAUUUUGUGAACUUGGAAGACAUAUGCUGUGAAGACACUAACGAUUAUUGUUAAAUUAACCAAAUCCUGGAAACGUGGUGAAAGACUAGCAAUAAUUAACAUGCCUUUUCUUGUACACCUUUAAUUUGACAAAGAUUAUCUGCUUAAAAUGCCAAAUUGUGUACAUUAAAUUGUCAAAUUCACAUUAAUAUAUGCUAAAAAUAUCAAUUGUUUGUAAUAAACCUUUUGAUGUAAUUAAAUGUGUUUUACUAUUAAAAAUACUUUUAGUCACUUAAAUGUAAGUGUCUCACAUAUGAAAAGUAGUUUAUUAUAGUGUUUGGUUUUUGUCUAAGCUUUUUUUAAAUGUAUUUGUUAAAAAAAUGUGCAGAACAUUGCUAGUUGUGAUUUGUUUGGGGGAAAGAAAUGCAUUUUUCAUGAAUAUGUCCAUGGAAUCGCCAUAUUUUAAAGUAAAUUUGAUAACCAUGUAUGUAAUUUUUAACAAUCUGCAUGUUAAGUCUUUUCCAUGGUUACAAGUUAAUUUACACUGUACUGAAUUGUAACAUGUUCUGAUAUUAAGAUAUGCCUUUGCCUUAGAAGUUGCAUUGAGCACUGCAAAAUGUUUUUUUCCAAAACAGAAUGAUUUAGAUGCUUUUUACAUAAUCACGCUUAAAAUUAUGGCUGAAACAAGGAAACUAUUCAAAAUUAGGAAAUGUUAUAGCUGUAGAGUUACGUUCUAAACGACAGUGCCUGAAAAUGAUAUUCUUCUAAAUUGUAUAAAAUUCCAAGUUUAAAAACUUA